UCUGGUGAUGAUGGCAAAGUGGACACACCUGUUCCCAUCUCGAACACAGAAGUUAAGCACUUUAACGGCGACGAUAGCUUGGC
rnacentral:rRNA from 1 species